rnacentral:rRNA from 1 species
AUUGAACGCUGGCGGCAUGCUUUACACAUGCAAGUCGAACGGCCGCGGGGAGGAGCUUGCUUCCCUGCCGUCGAGUGGCGAACGGGAGUGUAAUACAGCUGAACGAGCCGUGAAGAGGGGGUUAAUCACCCGAAAGGGUGGCAAAUCCCGCUUAAAUUUUGAGGCAGAAAGCUGGGGACCUAAGAAUAGGUUUAGCGCUACUUGAGCGUCCGACGUCGGAUUAGCUAGUUGGUGAGGUAAAGGCUCACCAAGGCGACGAUCUGUAGCAGGUCUGAGAGGAUGAUCCGCCACACUGGAACUGAGACACGGUCCAGACUCCUACGGGAGGCAGCAGUAGGGAAUUUUGGACAAUGGGGGCAAGCCUGAUCCAGCCAUGCCGCGUGUAUGAAGAAGGCCUUAGGAUUGUAAAGUACUUUUGUUAGGGAAGAAAAGUCGGCUGUGAAUAAAGGCUGAUACUGACGGUACCUAAAGAGUAAGCACCGGCUAACUACGUG